rnacentral:misc_RNA from 1 species
CGCUUGAUGCCAUCUCCUGUA